ACACUCUCUUACUUCAAAACGAAUAAAUCUUUCGCCUUUUCCUAAAGAUUUUCGUGGAGAGGAACAACCCUGAGUUUCGGUGAUUUUUUUGAUGCCUGGCUAAUGCCUUCUU